UUAAGUGACUAAGCGUACAAGGUGGAUGCCUUGGCAAUCAGAGGCGAAGAAGGACGUGCUAAUCUGCGAAAAGCUUGGAUGAGUCGAUAAGAGGCGUUUAAUCCAAGAUAUCCGAAUGGGGAAACCCAGUAGAUGAAGAAUCUACUAUCAACAAGUGAAUUCAUAGCUUGUUGAGGCAAACCGGGAGAACUGAAACAUCUAAGUACCCCGAGGAAAAGAAAUCAACCGAGAUUUCGUCAGUAGCGGCGAGCGAAAGCGAAAGAGCCAGUAAGUGAUAGCAGUAUAGUGAGGAGAAUGUGUUGGGAAGCACAAUCAAAGAGGGUGAUAAUCCCGUAUCUAAAAACCAUAUUGUGGUACUAAGCUAACGAGAAGUAGGGCGGGACACGUGAUAUCCUGUUUGAAGAAGGGGGGACCAUCCUCCAAGGCUAAAUACUCCUGAUUGACCGAUAGUGAACCAGUACUGUGAAGGAAAGGCGAAAAGAACCCCGGUGAGGGGAGUGAAAUAGAACCUGAAACCUUGUACGUACAAGCAGUGGGAGCCCCAUCACUUAAUCCGAUUGGAAGGUGAUGAAAAGCAACCGCAUUUAAACAAUGGUAAGAGGAGCGAAGCGAGUCAAACCACCCAAAAGAAGCAGUGGGAUUAAGUGAUGGGGUGACUGCGUACCUUUUGUAUAAUGGGUCAGCGACUUAUAUUUUGUAGCGAGGUUAACUGAAUAGGGGAGCCGAAGGGAAACCGAGUCUUAACUGGGCGAGUAGUUGCAAGGUAUAGACCCGAAACCCGGUGAUCUAGCCAUGGGCAGGUUGAAGGUUGGGUAACACUAACUGGAGGACCGAACCGACUAAUGUUGAAAAAUUAGCGGAUGACUUGUGGCUGGGGGUGAAAGGCCAAUCAAACCGGGAGAUAGCUGGUUCUCCCCGAAAUCUAUUUAGGUAGAGCCUUGAGGUGACACCUUUGGGGGUAGAGCACUGUUUCGGCUAGGGGGCCAUCCCGGCUUACCAACCCGAUGCAAACUACGAAUACCAAAGAGUGAUACUCAGGAGACACACGGCGGGUGCUAACGUCCGUCGUGGAGAGGGAAACAACCCAGACCGCCAGCUAAGGUCCCCAAGUCUAUAUUAAGUGGGAAACGAAGUGGGAAGGCUUAGACAGCUAGGAUGUUGGCUUAGAAGCAGCCAUCAUUUAAAGAAAGCGUAAUAGCUCACUAGUCGAGUCGGCCUGCGCGGAAGAUGUAACGGGGCUGAAAUAUAGCACCGAAGCUGCGGCAUCAGAAUUUAUUCUGUUGGGUAGGGGAGCGUUGUGUAAGCGGAAGAAGGUUCAUCGAGAGGUGGGCUGGACGUAUCACAAGUGCGAAUGCUGACAUAAGUAACGAUAAAACGGGUGAAAAACCCGUUCGCCGGAAGACCAAGGGUUCCUGUCCAACGUUAAUCGGGGCAGGGUGAGUCGGCUCCUAAGGCGAGGCUGAAAAGCGUAGUCGAUGGGAAACAGGUUAAUAUUCCUGUACUUGGUAAAGCUGCGAUGUGGGGACGGAGUAGGUUAGGUUAUCGCACUGUUGGAUAUGUGCGUUUAAGUUGGUAGGUGGGAAGUUUAGGCAAAUCCGGACUUCCUUAACACAGAGAGAUGAUGACGAGGCUCUACGGAGCUGAAGUAACUGAUACCACACUUCCAGGAAAAGCCACUAAGCGAAAGGCUUUACUAAACCGUACUGAAAACCGACACAGGUGGUCAGGUAGAGAAUACUCAGGCGCUUGAGAGAACUCGGGUGAAGGAACUAGGCAAAAUAGCACCGUAACUUCGGGAGAAGGUGCGCCGGCGUAGAUUGUAAGGGCUAGCCCCUGAAGGUUGAACCGGUCGAAGAUACCAGCUGGCUGCAACUGUUUAUUAAAAACACAGCACUCUGCAAACACGAAAGUGGACGUAUAGGGUGUGAUGCCUGCCCGGUGCUGGAAGGUUAAUUGAUGGUGUAAUCGAAAGAGAAGCACCUGAUCGAAGCCCCAGUAAACGGCGGCCGUAACUAUAACGGUCCUAAGGUAGCGAAAUUCCUUGUCGGGUAAGUUCCGACCUGCACGAAUGGCAUAAUGAUGGCCAGGCUGUCUCCACCCGAGACUCAGUGAAAUUGAAAUCGCCGUGAAGAUGCGGUGUACCCGCGGCUAGACGGAAAGACCCCGUGAACCUUUACUAUAGCUUGACACUGAACAUUGAAUUUUGAUGUGUAGGAUAGGUGGGAGCCUUUGAAGCAGUGACGCCAGUCAUUGUGGAGGCGACCUUGAAAUACCACCCUUUAACGUUUGAUGUUCUAACGAAGAUGACGAAACGUGGUCUCGGACAGUGUCUGGUGGGUAGUUUGACUGGGGCGGUCUCCUCCCAAAGCGUAACGGAGGAGCACGAAGGUUUGCUAAUCACGGUCGGACAUCGUGAGGUUAGUGCAAUGGUAUAAGCAAGCUUAACUGCGAGACAGACAAGUCGAGCAGGUACGAAAGUAGGUCAUAGUGAUCCGGUGGUUCUGAAUGGAAGGGCCAUCGCUCAACGGAUAAAAGGUACUCCGGGGAUAACAGGCUGAUACCGCCCAAGAGUUCAUAUCGACGGCGGUGUUUGGCACCUCGAUGUCGGCUCAUCACAUCCUGGGGCUGAAGUAGGUCCCAAGGGUAUGGCUGUUCGCCAUUUAAAGUGGUACGCGAGCUGGGUUUAGAACGUCGUGAGACAGUUCGGUCCCUAUCUGCCGUGGGCGUAGGAGAAUUGGUUGGGGCUGCUCCUAGUACGAGAGGACCGGAGUGGACGCACCACUGGUGUUCCGGUUGUGUCGCCAGACGCAUUGCCGGGUAGCUAAGUGCGGAAGAGAUAAGUGCUGAAAGCAUCUAAGCACGAAACUUGCCAAGAGAUGAGUUCUCCCAAUCUAAGAGAUUGUAAGGGUUGUUGUAGACUACGACGUAGAUAGGUCUGGUGUGUAAGUGUAGUGAUAUAUUGAGCUAACAGAUACUAAUUGCCCGAGAGGCUUAACU
rnacentral:rRNA from 1 species